GACGAACGCUGGCGGCGUGCUUAACACAUGCAAGUCAAGGGGGCCCAGCAAGUGGGCAACCGGGCGAACGGGUGCGUAACACGUGAGCAACCUACCGAACUGUGGGGGAUAGCCGGCCUAACGGCCGAGGUAAUACCGCAUACGCUCUCAGUGAGGCAUUUCAUUGAGAGGAAACCGUACGGGACAGAUCGAGGGGCCUCGCGGCCUAUCAGCUAGUUGGCGAGGUAACGGCNCACCAAGGCAACGACGGGUA
rnacentral:rRNA from 1 species